rnacentral:lncRNA from 1 species
GUUUGAUCAUUAAAACAAGGGUCUUGGAGACGUUCCCUUUGUUUUAAGAUGACGCACUUAAGAGGAAAUGACAGAUGGCGCAUCCCCCACCUGUUUGCGCUGUUCAUGGUUCUUGUCACUCUCAGUUCAUGUGUGGCAGCAGCUCCUGGGGUUCAGCCUACAACAAUUUCCACUUCCAUUCCAACAAGCGUCCCUGGAGAAAAAUCUGCUUUACUCAGUCAGAUCACGGGCAAUGUCAAGUCGGCAACCUCCGCCGCCAGUGAGUCCGCGAUUACGUCAAAUGCUCUUUUGGAAAAAACCGCGAGUCCUGAUCCAAUUGACGCGUUUAUGAAUGGAGUAAUCGGACCCUUGCAGGAGGACGAUUUGGAGUACUCGUUAGAUUACUACAAUGAAAAAUUCCUGAUGAAGGAGUACGAUUUUGAGCCCGUGGACCUUUUGAAGAAACUCGCUAAAUCUGCGAUGUCGGAAGGAACAACGCCCAAGCAAUUUCUUGAAGAAAUUCAGGACAUUAUAUCUUUGCAAAACCGAUCACGAUCAGAACAGGAUGACGCAGUUGGCCGAGAUGACGUCUCUCAAAUUCCUGCUGGCUACCUGAGCGAGAACUUACGGAAGCAAGUGACAGAAGGCUGGAAAAACGAGCUGAAACGUCUGGAAAAAAAAUACAAUAUCAGUUCAGAGUGUGUAGGUCCCGACUCCAUAACUUCCACAAGACUGGCGCUAAUGUUCCCUCACUACAUUAAUUUCGGUCAGAAACCAUUCGCGGCUCCGACUAACAUCACGGUGGGUAUAUCAUCUUAUUCCCAGAAACAGGUGUAUGAUCCUUACACAGGAAGUUAUCGUUAUGAGACCCUCGAUGCAAAUAUUCCAUCAAUUUUAGGUCGUCCAGAAUUCGGAGGAGUUAUUCCAUUGGUGCUGUUAGAUGAAUCUACCCGUGAGAUAAUCAUAGGCACGCACCUCUACGCCCUUCACAGGAAGGACGUUGAUGACCUGGUGCCCUUCCGGACCAAGUGUGCUUUGCUAAAGCGCCGUAUGGAAAAGAGCUCGCUAUCGGAGCAACGGAGAGUCAGGUUUCUCAUCAACAACGAAAUUAUGCAUAAAAAUGGAACUUUGUUAAGGACUUCAAUUAAAAAGGUCUACGAGCAAAUACCGAAUAAUUUUAAGGAAAAAAUUGACUGGGAUUUGCUGAGUUGGGAGGUGCAUGUGUAUCUUUGA